UACGUAGGGUGCAAGCGUUGUCCGGAAUUAUUGGGCGUAAAGAGCUCGUAGGCGGUCUGUCGCGUCGGCUGUGAAAACUCGGGGCUCAACCCCGAGCCUGCAGUCGAUACGGGCAGACUAGAGUGCGGUAGGGGAGACUGGAAUUCCUGGUGUAGCGGUGAAAUGCGCAGAUAUCAGGAGGAACACCGAUGGCGAAGGCAGGUCUCUGGGCCACUACUGACGCUGAGAAGCGAAAGCAUGGGGAGCGAACAGG
rnacentral:rRNA from 1 species